CCUACGGGGGGCAGCAGUGAGGAAUAUUGGUCAAUGGACGAGAGUCUGAACCAGCCAAGUAGCGUGAAGGAUGACUGCCCUAUGGGUUGUAAACUUCUUUUAUAUGGGAAUAAAACGUUCCACGUGUGGGAUUUUGUAUGUACCAUAUGAAUAAGGAUCGGCUAACUCCGUGCCAGCAGCCGCGGUAAUACGGAGGAUCCGAGCGUUAUCCGGAUUUAUUGGGUUUAGGGGGAGCGUAGGUGGAUUGUUAAGUCAGUUGUGAAAGUUUGCGGCUCAACCGUAAAAUUGCAGUUGAAACUGGCAGUCUUGAGUACAGUAGAGGUGGGCGGAAUUCGUGGUGUAGCGGUGAAAUGCUUAGAUAUCACGAAGAACUCCGAUUGCGAAGGCAGUUCACUGGACUGCAACUGACACUGAGGCUCGAAAGUGUGGGUAUCAAACAGGAUUAGAUACCCCUGUAGUC
rnacentral:rRNA from 1 species